CCCGAGUAGUUUGUAAAUUGUGGGGAGACCAUGCCGACAAGUGUCUGCCGCAGAAUGAUGAAGUCGUGACUGUCUGCAACGUAGAAGUUGCAACAUUUAAAGAUAUAAUUUCACUAAAUUCAACCCUGCUUACUUCCAUAAAGGAAUCCGAAGAGAACACCAUAGUCGAAGGAAAAGUCGAAGGGGUAGAUUUUAGAGAGGACUUCAGCUAUCUCAUCAUUGACACAAAAACUUAUAAAGUAAAAACAACGGAACUGGAAAGAAUAUUUCCCAGAGGGUUCGAACAAGACAUACAUAUCAAAGGAAGCGCUCAUGGAUUUACCAUUGUUGAACUAGAGAAGAUCAACCCAGCAAAGAAACCUAAGAGAGAUUAAACUUUUCAAGAAAAGUACUUCUUUUGAACAAUUUGAACAACGCCCAUUUCAUUUCAGCUAUAAUUCAAAGCUCAAAUAAGCUUUUCUAAUCAUAAUUUGGUCGUCUGUCUAGCUGUCCGUCUGUCUGUAAACAUUUCAUAUUUUUAACUUCUUUUCAAGAACCACUGGACCAAUUUCAAUAAAACUAAACACAAAGCAUCCUUGACCACAGAAGACUCAACUACUAUCUUCAUAUGAAAGGCCAU